GACGAACGCUGGCGGCGCGCCUAACACAUGCAAGUCGAACGAGCGAGCGAGAGCUUGCUUUCUUGAGCGAGUGGCGAACGGGUGAGUAACGCGUGAGGAACCUGCCUCAAAGAGGGGGACAACAGUUGGAAACGACUGCUAAUACCGCAUAAGCCCACGUUCCCGCAUGGCACAGAGGGAAAAGGAGCAAUCCGCUUUGAGAUGGCCUCGCGUCCGAUUAGCUAGUUGGUGAGGUAACGGCCCACCAAGGCGACGAGCGGUAGCCGGGCGGAGAGGUUGAACGGCCACAUUGGGACUGAGACACGGCCCAGACUCCUGCGGGAGGCAGCAGUGGGGAAUAUUGCACAAUGGGGGAAACCCUGAUGCAGCGACGCCGCGUGGAGGAAGAAGGUCUUCGGAUUGUAAACUCCUGUUGUUGGGGAAGAUAAUGACGGUACCCAACAAGGAAGUGACGGCUAACUACGUG
rnacentral:rRNA from 1 species